rnacentral:rRNA from 1 species
UACAGAGGGUGCGAGCGUUAAUCGGAAUUACUGGGCGUAAAGCGUGCGCAGGCGGUUUGUUAAGCCAGAUGUGAAAGCCCCGGGCUCAACCUGGGAACUGCGUUUGGUACUGGCAAGCUAGAGUACGGCAGAGGGGGGUGGAAUUCCGACGUGUAGCAGUGAAAUGCGUAGAGAUGUGGAGGAACACCGAUGGCGAAGGCAGCCCCCUGGGCCGAUACUGACGCUCAGGCACGAAAGCGUGGGGAGCAAACAGG